rnacentral:ncRNA from 1 species
UAUAGGUUUGGUCCUGGCCCUCCUAUUAGUUACUAGUAAGCUUACACAUGCAAGAAUCCUCAUCCCGGUGAAUACGCCCUCUUUUCCAUAUAUGAUAAUGAAGGAGCUGGUAUCAGGCACACUAAUCAUUAAAGUAGCCCAUAACACCUUGCCUAGCCACACCCCCACGGGAUACAGCAGUGAUAAAAAUUAAGCAAUAAAUGAAAAUUUGACUAAAUUAUACUAUUAAGAACUGGUAAAUUUCGUGCCAGCCACCGCGGUCACACGAUUAGUUCAAACUAAUAGGCAUUCGGCGUAAAGCGUGUUUUAGAGAAAUUAUUAUUACUAAUAAAAUCAAAAUCUAGCUAAACUGUAAAAAGUCUUAGCUACCAUAAGAUACACUACGAAAGUGAUUUUAAAAGUCCUGAGUACACGAUAACUAAGAUCCAAACUGGGAUUAGAUACCCCACUAUGCUUAGUCCUAAAUACGAGAAAAUUAUUGAACAAACUUACUCGCCAGAGAACUACAAGCAACAGCUUAAAACUCAAAGGACCUGGCGGUACCUUAUAUCCUUCUAGAGGAGCCUGUUAUAUAAUUCGAUAAACCCCGAUAUACCUCACCAACCCUUGCCAAAUCAGCCUAUAUACCGCCAUCCUCAGCAAACCCUAAAAAGGAAGCACAGUCAGCACAAUUAUUAACAUAAAAACGUUAGGUCAAGGUGUAGCUUAUGGGUUGGGAAGAAAUGGGCUACAUUCCUCGACUCGAGGUAUUUAUACCUACGAAAACCUAUGUGAAACCAAAAGUUAAAGGUGGAUUUAGCAGUAAAUUAAGAAUAGAGAGCUUAAUUGAAUAAGGCCAUAAGGUAUGUACACACCGCCCGUCACCCUCCUCAAAUAAUAUAAUAUAUUAUACACCAUAAUUAAUUAACAAUGUUAAUUUAUGAGAGGAGACAAGUCGUAACAAGGUAAGUGUACUGGAAAGUGCACUUGGAUAACA